rnacentral:rRNA from 1 species
CCUACGGGAGGCAGCAGUGGGGAAUAUUGCACAAUGGGCGAAAGCCUGAUGCAGCAACGCCGCGUGAAGGAAGAAGGGUUUCGGCUCGUAAACUUCUAUCAACAGGGACGAAAGAAAUGACGGUACCUGAAUAAGAAGCCCAGGCUAACUACGGGCCAGCAGCCGCGGUAAUACGGAGGGGGCAAGCGUUAUCCGGAAUUAAUGGGUGUAAAGGGUGAGUAGGCGGCAUGGUAAGCCAGCUGUGAAAGACUGUGGCUUAACCAGAGGAUUGGAUUUGAAACUAGCAAGCUAGAGUACAGUAGAGGAAAGCGGAAUUCGUGGUGUAGCGGUGAAAUGCGUAGAUAUUAGGAAGAACACCAGUUGCGAAGGCAGCUUUCUGGACUGAAACUGACGCUGAGGCACGAAAGCGUGGGGAGCGAACAGGAUUAGAUACCCGGGUAGUC